rnacentral:rRNA from 1 species
CUUCACUUCGGUGAGGAGCGGCGGACGGGUUAGUAACGCGUGGGAAUAUACCCUUCACUAUGGAAUAGCCUCGGGAAACUGAGAGUAAUACCAUAUACGCCCUUCGGGGGAAAGAUUUAUCGGUGAAGGAUUAGCCCGCGUAAGAUUAGAUAGUUGGUGGGGUAAUGGCCUACCAAGUCUACGAUCUUUAGCUGGUUUGAGAGGAUGAUCAGCAACACUGGGACUGAGACACGGCCCACACUCCUACGGGAGGCAGCAGUGGGGAAUCUUAGACAAUGGGCGCAAGCCUGAUCUAGCCAUGCCGCGUGAGUGACGAAGGUCUUAGGAUCGUAAAGCUCUUUCGCCAGAGAUGAUAAUGACAGUAUCUGGUAAAGAAACCCCGGCUAACUCCGUGCCAGCAGCCGCGGUAAUACGGAGGGGGUUAGCGUUGUUCGGAAUUACUGGGCGUAAAGCGUACGUAGGCGGAUUGGAAAGUAGGGGGUGAAAUCCCAGGGCUCAACCCUGGAACUGCCUCCUAAACUAUCAGUCUAGAGUUCGAGAGAGGUGAGUGGAAUUCCAAGUGUAGAGGUGAAAUUCGUAGAUAUUUGGAGGAACACCAGUGGCGAAGGCGGCUCACUGGCUCGAUACUGACGCUGAGGUACGAAAGUGUGGGGAGCAAACAGGAUUAGAUACCCUGGUAGUCCACACCGUAAACGAUGAC